rnacentral:RNase_P_RNA from 1 species
GGAGUCGGCCAGGCGGUCGCGGACCGCGCCGGGUGCGCGGGUUCGAGGAAAGUCCGGACUCCACAGGGCAGGGUGGUCGGUAACACCGACCCGGGGUGACCCGCGGGACAGUGCCACAGAGAACAGACCGCCACCGCUCACGCGGUGGUAAGGGUGAAACGGUGGUGUAAGAGACCACCAGCGGCCGGAGCGAUCCGGCCGGCUCGGUAAACCCCACCCGGAGCAAGGUCAAAAAGGGGAUCUUCGGAUCUCCGCGCGGAUGAUCGAGGGCGGCCCGCCCGAGUCCGCGGGUAGACCGCACCGAGGUCGCCGGCAACGGCGAUCCCAGAUGGAUGACCGCCCGGUCCGUUCACGGACCGACAGAAUCCGGCUUACCGGCCGACUCCCCUC